rnacentral:rRNA from 1 species
AACGAACGCUGGCGGCAGGCCUAACACAUGCAAGUCGAGCGAGAUCUUCGGGUCUAGCGGCGGACGGGUGAGUAACGCGUGGGAAUAUGCCUCUUGGUACGGAAUAGCCUCGGGAAACUGGGAGUGAUACCGUAUGUGCCCUUUGGGGGAAAGAUUUAUCGCCAAGAGAUUAGCCCGCGUUGGAUUAGGUAGUUGGUGGGGUAAUGGCCUACCAAGCCGACGAUCCAUAGCUGGUUUGAGAGGAUGAUCAGCCACACUGGGACUGAGACACGGCCCAG